GUCCCUGUAGCACAAUGGAUAGCGUGUUGGACUUUUUAUCCAAAUGUCGUGGUUUCGAACCUUACCUGGGAUG